rnacentral:rRNA from 1 species
GAUGAACGCUGGCGGCGUGCCUAACACAUGCAAGUCGAACGGACAGACCAUGAGCUUGUGCCUUUCACGUUAGCGGAGGGCGGGAGAGUAACGCGUGUAUCACCUACUUAUAUUUCGGGGAUAAUCACGGAACACCGGAUAUAAUACCGUAUAAUAUAUUGAACCGCAGGGUGCAAUAGUAAAUUUCGGCUUUGGUGUCUGUAAUAGCUGGAUCCGGGCUGCAUGAGAUGGUUGGUAAGGUCACGGCCUAUCAAGGCGACGAUGCGUAGCCGAGCUGAGAGGGUGAUCGGCCACAUGGGAACUGAGACACGGUCAAUACGACUACGGUACGCAGCAGUAGGGAAUCGGCGGCAAUGGGCGGAAGCCUGACACAGCAAGGCGGAGUGUGUGAUGAAGGCCCUCGGUUCGUAAAGCCCGGUUUUUGGGGAAGAACAGCUUUGUCCUGAGACGUGGCCGUCUUGACGGUACCGAAUCAAGAAGCACCGGCUAACUACGUG